rnacentral:rRNA from 1 species
UGAGGAAUAUUGGGCAAUGCCCGCAAGGGUGACCCAGCAACGCCGCGUGGAGGAUGAAUGUCGUAAGAUUGUAAACUCCUGUUAGAGGGGAAGAAUAGUACCGGUUGGACCGGUAUAUGACUGUACCCUCAGAGAAAGCCCCGGCUAACUACGUGCCAGCAGGCGCGGUAAUACGUAGGGGGCAAGCGUUGUCCGGAUUUACUGGGUGUAAAGGGCGCGCAGGCGGGAUAAAAAGUCAGUGGUGAAAUCCUACAGCUUAACUGUAGAACUGCCUUUGAUACUUUUAUUCUUGAGUUCGGGAGAGAGAGACGGAAUUCCAGGUGUAGUGGUGAAAUACGUAGAUAUCUGGAAGAACACCAGUUGCGAAGGCGGUCUCUUGGUCCGACACUGACGCUGAGGCGCGAAAGCGUGGGGAGCAAAC